AGUCUCGAAAUGAUAAUCAUGCUAGAUUGCAAAUCUAGUUUAGCAGCUUCAAAUCUGCCGGGACUU
rnacentral:tRNA from 1 species